rnacentral:rRNA from 1 species
UCCUACGGGACGCAGCGGUGGGGGAUAUUGCACAAUGGGGGAAACCCUGAUGCAGCGACGCCGCGUGUAGGAAGACGGUCCUCUGGAUUGUAAACUACUGUCCCCAGGGACGAAGAUGACGGAACCUGGGGAGGAAGCUCCGGCUAACUACGUGCCAGCAGCCGCGGUAAUACGUAGGGAGCGAGCGUUGUCCGGAAUUACUGGGUGUAAAGGGAGCGUAGGCGGGGAUGCAAGUUGGGGGUUAAAUCUACCGGCUCAACUGGUAGUCGCACUCAAAACUGCAGCUCUUGAGGGAAGUAGAGGCA